rnacentral:rRNA from 1 species
CCUACGGGUGGCUGCAGUGGGGGAUAUUGGACAAUGGGGGGAACUCUGACCCAGCAACGCCGCGUGAGUGAAGAAGUAUUUCGGUAUGUAAAGCUCUGUCAGCAGGGACGAAAGAACUGACGGUACCUGACCAAGAAGCCUCGGCUAACUACGUGCCAGCAGCCGCGGUAAUACGUAGGGGGCAAGCGUUAUCCGGAAUUACUGGGUGUAAAGGGAGCGUAGGCGGUUGAGUAAGUCUGGAGUGAAAUGCCGGGGCCCAACCCCGGGACUGCUCUGGAAACUAUUGGACUUGAGUGCAGGGGAGGUGAGCGGAAGUCCUAGUGUAGCGGUGAAAUGCGUAGAUAUUAGGAGGAACACCAGUGGCGAAGGCGACUUACUGGACUGUAACUGACGUUGAGGCUCGAAAGCGUGGGGAGCAAACAGGAGUAGAUACCCGGGUAGUC